rnacentral:rRNA from 1 species
UACGUAGGGGGCUAGCGUUGUCCGGAAUCAUUGGGCGUAAAGAGCGUGUAGGCGGCCCGGUAAGUCCGCUGUAAAAGUCAAAGGCCCAACCUUUGAAUGUCAGUGGAUACUGCCGGGCUAGAGUCCGGAAGAGGCGAGUGGAACUCCUGGUGUAGCGGUGGAAUGCGCAGAUAUCAGGAAGAACACCAACGGCGAAGGCAGCUCGCUAGGACGGUACUGACGCUGAGACGCGAAAGCGUGGGGAGCGAACAGG